UUGUUUGGUGACGCGAAACGACGACGUUUGUGUGGUGUAUUUCUUCUGUUGGUGAACAGUGUGUUUUUGUUUUGUUAGCUGGAGAGUUCGAUUUGUCGCUUUAUGGUGCGGCUUGUGCUUCUAUCAGUGAAGCGGUUGUGUUCGGUGCUGCCGAUUCGUCGAAGAUUGUGCUACGGGUGUUAGACGGAUCUCGAAUACUAUGUUCGGUAGCAUAUUUGCUCCACGAUUAUGAAAAAGAUUUGAACUUCUUUGCGAUGUUGUUGUUGUUCAAUUUCAAUACUCCCUUUUGUUUUUGCUGUGAAGAAUUUGAUCUAAAUUGAGUGCGCUGGUGUUGUUACCUGAGAGUAAUGGACAAGGAAUGCCUGGGUUAAUGAUUUUUGGUAAAGAGCAGCUUCGUGCAUGAAGCAAUUGUUUUCAGUGGUGGCAAUUCAUCCAAGAUUUCGCUACGAGUGUUAGACGGAGCUCCAAUACUGUGUUCGGUAGCUGUUUUGCUCCACUAUUAUGAAAAAAAUUGAAGUUCUUUGCUAUGUUGGUCAUGAAUUUCAGUGAUCGAUUUCGUUUUUGCUGUGAAGAAGUCAUCUAAAUUCAGUGCGUUGGUGUCGUUAGGUGAGAGCAAUGCAAGGAUGGGCACCUAACAAUGUUGGGAGGAUACUUGGAAUUCUUCGUCAAAUCCUCAUUAGCAAAAACAAACUUGAAGCCAAAAAGACACUUGAGGAAUUAAUUCAGAAGAAUGCUUUGUAACCGAUGAGCUUUUUUUUACUUGUGGUUUUUGGUUGUAAGUAACCAAUGAGCUUUUUUGUUAUUGUGCUUUUUUCUUCGUGAAAUCCUCAUUAGCAGAAAGAAAGUUUAACCUAUAGAGAGAACUUGAGGAAUUAAUUCAGUAGAAUGCUCUGUAACCAAUGAGCUUUUUAUAUUCUUGUGGUUUUUGGUUGUAUACAGCGUAACUAGAUGACCAUCCUAAGUUGGCUUUGUUGAGGCAAUUUGGUGGAGGUAUGUCCAUCCUUUACAUACUAUUAGGCAUGCCUGUUCUACGGUAAUAUGUUGUUUUUUUGUUUUUCAAUGGGUUUGAGUUUCAGUAUUUAAGGAUGACAUGUUCCGAAGCACAAUAACUUCAAUGGCAGCUCAGAUAGACAUCAUAUCAUCUCAAAGGGAGGCCAAUACAGAACAACCAAAUCCACAAAAUGACUGCAACACGUCAAACCAGGACAACUAAAAAUGCAGGUGCACCAUUUUCAAUUAAUGUUGUUGUUCGCAAAGUUCUGCUUAUAGAUUUUGAAAAGAAGACCGUCUACGACUAACAGCUUUUGCUCAAACAUUCCCCUGUGAAUUUCAACCAACCAGAAGAUUAUGGACUACAUAUAUAAACAACAUCGAACAAUAUCAUGUAUAAUGCGACUACAUAUAUGAAGGACUAUGUAUAUCAAGAACCUGAAAUAGUAUCAUGUAUAAUACGACUAUAUGUUUA